GCGCCCGUAGCUCAGUUGGUUGAGCGGUGGAACGGCAAUCCACAGUCCCGGGUUCAAGUCCCGGCGGACGCU